AGGGUUCGAUCCUGGCUCAGAACGAACGCUGGCGGCAUGCCUAACACAUGCAAGUCGAACGCUAUUUAUAGAGUGGCGCACGGGUGAGUAACGCGUGGGAACCUGCCUUUUUCUGCGGGAUAACGGUUGGAAACGACCGCUAAUACCGCAUACGCCCUACGGGGGAAAGGUCCGCCGGAGAAAGAGGGGCCCGCGUCUGAUUAGUUUGUUGGUGGGGUAACGGCCUACCAAGGCGACGAUCAGUAGCUGGUCUGAGAGGAUGAUCAGCCACACUGGGACUGAGACACGGCCCAGACUCCUACGGGAGGCAGCAGUGGGGAAUAUUGGACAAUGGGGGCAACCCUGAUCCAGCAAUGCCGCGUGUGUGAUGAAGGCCUUAGGGUUGUAAAGCACUUUCACUGGUGAAGAUGAUGACGGUAACCAGAGAAGAAGCCCCGGCUAACUUCGUGCCAGCCGCCGCGGUAAUAC
rnacentral:rRNA from 1 species